rnacentral:rRNA from 1 species
AUUGAACGCUGGCGGCAGGCCUAACACAUGCAAGUCGAGCGGAGCGGCGGACGGGUGAGUAAUGCCUAGGAAUCUGCCUGGUAGUGGGGGAUAAAGUCCGGAAACGGGCGCUAAUACCGCAUACUAUCAGACGAGCCUAGGUCGGAUUAGCGAGGUGGUGGGGUAAGGGCCUACCAAGGCGACGAUCCGUAACUGGCAUGAGAGGAUGAUCAGUCACACUGGAACUGAGACACGGGCCAGACUCCUAAGGGAGGCAGCAGGGGGGAAUAUUGGACAAGGGGCUAAAGCCUUGUCCAGCCAUGCCGCGUGUUUGAAGAAGGUCUUCGGAUUGGAAAGCACUUUAAGUUGGGAGGCGUUACCAACAGAAUAAGCACCGGCUAACUUCGUGCCAGCAGCCGCGGUAAUUC